ensembl:ncRNA F13D11.14 ncRNA
AGGAGACAGCUCCAUAAGCCCCGCCCUUCCCCCUUUAACGCCAGCCUCUUGCGGCCAGCCCCACAGGCCUAGAACACUACUGCAUAAUAAAAAUGACCACUGGCCGUUUUUUUCCUUCUCUCACUCCCUUCGAGUAGUUAA